rnacentral:lncRNA from 1 species
AGACACAUAUAUGAUCAUCAGGUGGUCUGGGAGCCAGUAACGUGACCUUCAGCUCCUUGUUUUUACAUUAUUACAGCGGAAAUCACAUAUAUACGUAAAUAAAGCUACGUAGUUGGAGGAGAGUGUACGAAGAUCUGUUUAUUAUAUAAGUAAUGCAUGAGCAGGGGAGAAUUAAGUAUGGAUGGUAAAAGGUAGAUGAAAAUAAUUAAUAGUUUAGUUUCGUACAAAUGUGCGCGGGUAGUAGAAGAUGGACGGACGGAUGGGUGGACGGAUAGAGGAUGAGGGCCUAUAUAUGUAUAUAUAUGAGUUUAAGUUUUAAUGGAAAUGCCAAACUGGGGAGCUUGAAUUAGGAGAUCUUUGAGCUCUUCGAAGGAGAUUUUGUUUUCUCCCUUUUUACUGCCGUAGGCAAUGGCACGUUCAGCCAUGAAACUUGGAGUAAGAGCACCCAGAUCGUCGAACAGCUGCUUCAGCUCUUCCUUGUUUAUAGUUUUGUCGUCGUUCGUAGCCAACCCUUCGAACAUCAUCUUCAACUCGUCAAUCUUCACGUUUUGGCUUAUCAGUGCCCGUCUUCUUGCCAAACGAGCCAUUUCUUCUUCGUCUCUUCCUUAAUUCUCUCUCUCUUUUCUUUGCUUAUCUAAUCUUUGCCUGAUUUGCUGUAUACUUGCAUGGCGCAAGUCUUUAUAUAACCAUCCUCAAGUGCAUGCAUCAACGUUACUUUCUAAAUUUCUAAGCGGAAGUCUCUAGAAGAUAAGUUUAAAUUUUAUUACACGCAUACAUUAAUUAUAAAAUAAUUAUUUAAUAAAAAAUAUAUAAAUAAAGUAUUAUUAAGUGUUAAAUAUUAGAGAUAAAGUGAAAUUACGUGUUUUUAUCUCUAUUAAAUAAAGUAUUAUUUAGUAUACGAGGGAAGUAAUUUAAAAAUUUAGAAAAAAAAUAAUAAUAAUAAUAUUUUAAAAUAUUAUUGUAAUUUGUAAUUAAUUAUAUAAUCUGAAUUAGAAAAGAAACGUCGCCGUUUGAUGUUAUUUGUCGAAGUUGGAAAGAAUAAAAAGUAGAGAUUAGUUUUGUGAAGUGAGAAUCUUAGAAAAAGCAGAUGCUUGAGUUACUUGUUGGAACAAGUGGAGAGGAGGUGGCAUCAUUCAUUGCGUCCUCAACAAUAUUACUCCAUCCCGAAAAGAAAUUCCAAGAAAAUUAAUCGCUCAAAUCUUAUUUAAGCAAUUAAUUAAUUAAAAAUAAACCUUCUAGAACAGUUCUCACAUAGUAUAUAACAGUUUUUACUUUUAACUUAACAAUUUCUAUAUAAUAAUUACGUACAAGAGAUGAUAUAGACAUGUAGGAGAAUCCUUUGGGUGGAGAAUAAUUAAAGGUGCACCGAGUUGUUGUUAUCUUGUAAGAUUCUUUCAUCACCACCUUUCGGUUUUUGUAUUUUUUUGUUUGAUUUAAUUUGAUUCUAUUCGAUUAUAAAGAUAUCAUUUUUUUCGGUUUAAUUUUGUAGACACGAAUAAAUAAAUUAAUUGUCACUAUCUAUUUCAAUAUGCGAUUUUUAAGAAUGAGUGAUUCAAAUAAAUUUACUUAAAUAAUAAUAUAAGUAGGAUUUUUUUGUAAAAAAAAGAAAAUACAAUCCUAAAGUAUUAUAAACUCUUUCUAAAAAAAAAACAAGUUUGUAAUUUGAUUAUAAAAUUUAUAAAAAUCGAAUAUAAAAAUUUACUUCACUAAAUUAACGUAGUAAUUUAAGUAUUAAGUGAUUUUCAACCAAUUUAACAAUGUUUUGCACUUUCUGCGAUUUUUACUAAAUUAUGAGUUAAAAUUAUCCUUAUAUUCUAUACAUAUAACUUAACUAAAGCAAUCGAGAUAUAUUCAACCAUAUCGAUUAAUUGAAGCAUCAAAUUUCAAUUUGUAAAACUCCAUUUGACUGAGGAGACCAUACUCAUUGGUGGAUCGAUGCCUUUACUUGAACAAGCAUCCCCUAAAACAAAUCCUCUACCCAAAGGCUUACCCCUCCAUAACACUAAGACAGAUACACAUACGUGAAAGAUAUGAUCGAUGGUCUAUAACGCUUCCCCAUGCAUCAAACAUAUAGGGUUGACUUGGACACCUUUUUCAUUCAACCUAAUUUGCACUACUAAUAUGUCUUUGUAGAGUCUCCAAAUUAUAUGCUUGACUAGAGGCCAAACCCAGUAUAAUGCUACAUAUGUUAGUUGGUUUCUUUUAUAUAUACAUAAGUCAUAUUUGUUGUAACAAAGUAUUUAUGUUGACAUAUAAGUGCUUUUUAAGAAAGACCAUUUGUGCUUGAAUGAAAGAUAUACAAGUUGGUAUUCGUCAUCAAUAUAAUUCAUGUUUUAUCUUUCAAAUUUUAGAUGUGAAUCUACAAAACAAUUGCUUUUCUUUUCAAGAAAAAGGAUUUAAAAAAUCUACGAGUUGGUGUUCAAAUUUUAACUUCAAUUUAAUUUGAAGGUUUUCAUUUCUCUUUUUCUUUAAUUUUCAUUUAUUCCUUUGUUGUUCGUUCCCUUAGUGUGUUCCUUUCUCUCUUUCGUUUGGCUUUCAUUCCAUUUUCUUUCCUCCAUCGCCAGGGCAGCGUCGUAACAGGUCGAGUAUUCCUCUCUUGCAUGUCCCACUUCAGUGUUUUCCCCAUUUUCCUUCAUCAACUCAGCUCACGCGAAUUUCUCCUCUGCACAUGCCAUGCCAAGCCUUAAAAGAAAUCUUCCCCUUCACAUGGCUCAGCCACCACCUUCCAUCUGGUGGAAGAAGACAAAAGCGAGUCUCCCCAAACUCUUGCGUCCGAUUGAAAGGUUUCUCCAAAACGACGUCGUUUUGUAGCAAAUUAAAAGAAUCGAACUGAACGGUGCCGUUCGGGCUUCUUCUGUUAGCAUUGGCUCCUGUUAAGGCUGUUAGUUUUUUUUUUUUUUGUUGAAUUAUAUUGAAACGGCGUCUAUUUAACCCCUUAGGGACUGGAUCCUCUAUAUCUAGGCCCGCUUUGAAUUCGACCUGCUGUUAUUCCUAAUUACGAUAUCAAAUAUAAAAUAUUUAGUUUAAGAUUGAAUAAAGUUUAUCUUUUUUUUAAAAAAAAAAAAUUCAUUAAAUGCACUUAAUAUAAAAAAUAAAAGCUUUUUUUCCUCAUAAAGUUAUAAGAGGAAAAAUAAAUAAAGAAUAUAUUGAUUUAAAGAAAAAUUAUUACAUUUGGUAUAAGAUAUAAAACUUUAGUACACAGAUAAUUAAUUAGGAAAUGAGAAGUAAAAUUCAUUAUUUUGGGAAUAGACAUUAGUUCUGGUAUGAGCUCUCAAACUUAUCACAGUUUAAUAUGAUGUUUUUAUAGUUAUUUUAAAUAUAUAUACCAUUAAUUAUACGAAUUAAAUUGAUAAUAUAUUUUUUUUUUCAGAUAUAAGAUGCUUUUAUUUAUUUAAAAUUUUGGGUGUUUGUACAUUUUUAAAUAUGGGUUUUGUCAGUAAGAAAAAUUGCACUCAUCUUUUUAGAGGAGUUGAACGAACCCUCCCAUGAAUAUGUCUGUGUGGUUGAUUGUGAUAUAGAAGAAGUAGAAACUUUCAAGUAGAAUAAAAACAGGAGAAGAAAUUCAACGUAUACAAAUACACACACACACACAUAUAUAUAUAUAUAUAUAUAUAUGGAGUAGAGAGAAAUUAGAAACUUUCCAUUAGACAGCAGGAAGUAACAAAAACAAGAGAAAACAUUCAUUAUAUAUAUAUAUAUAUAAAAUAAAGGGUGGGAGAUAUAUUAUUGGCUUAUUGAUGAGUUUGGAAGAAGGGUGCGGAUGUAACUUAUAAGUUUGCUAGGCCUUAAUGGUGUAUCCAAGAGAAGAAACGUAUUUGAUUAGUUUUGGAAGCUCAUUUUCAUCGACGAAGCCAUCUCCGUCGCCAUCAGCAAACUUCAUUCCACGCCAAGCUCUGAAUCCAGGAACUAAGGCACCCAAGUUCAAGAAAGCAAUCUUUAACUCUUCUGUACUCAAACGUUGGUCGCCAUUGGAAUCAAAUUUCAUCAAGGCAGCCUUUAUGUUCUCCUCAGUUGGGCAUUUGAGUGGCGCUGGUGCUCCCUUCCCAAUUAUAUGAGGCAUCUUAAACUAAUUCUUCAAACAAAUUUUAUACUAUUGAUUUUGUUUUUGUUGCUAUGAUCUUACAAAGCAAAUCAACAAGGCUAUUUAUAGAUCUUUUGCAAGUUAAUCUUUCUCAUUCAAAAUAUUCUCGCUUAUCUUCAAAUGGUUGAUGGAUAUAUAGCUAGAAUCUUUUUACUUCCUCAUGCACUGGCCGUGCGCCAAUGGGUAUAUAUAUAUAUAUAUGCUCAAAUCUAUUUAUAUCUACUUGGGCUCCACAGCAUGUAAUAUGUGUUCCAUUACUGAUUAAAGUGUGUUAAGGGAACACUUACAUGGGUGUGUGUAUAUACAUAUACAUAUAUAUAUAUGUGAUCACUUGAUAAUCAUCAAUUUAACAAGUAAACUAAGUUACAACUUACUUUUAUCUUUGGAUUGUAUUUAUACCUUAUUAUUGUGCACUUGGAGUGUCGGCCUUAAUUUGAAUGCAUUAAUGCUUAAAUGGAAUUAUUGCAUGGAUUUCAAUGUUUUUAAUGUGUCAUGUCAAAAGAUUCGGUAAUCCAAUUAAAAGAUUAGUUUGAUUAAGACAAUCACGUAACUAAUUAAAAAUUAAUAUCACAAUUAGAAUUAUCAAGAUAUUAUUAUCAUCACUAUUAUUAUUAUUUAUUUUAUUUUAACAAGAUUAAAUUGAGAUAUCAUAAUUAAAUUUUUUUUAUAAAAUAUGUAUCAUCUUCCACGGUAUCAUUUUAAUGAGGCAAGUUGACACUUCAGUUUUAAAGCAUUCAUAAUUAAAAAAUCUCAAGCACGAUUUAAGAUGGAGAAUGAAUUAAAGUAUGAUAUGAAAAAAAUCUUAAUUUAUCUUAUCAUAGUUAAAGUACAAAAAUAUCAUUAGGUAUUGGCCAAUACAUUUGGUAUCAAGUAAUAGUUGAUGUGACAAAAAAUUUUAUAUUAAUAUUAAACUGAUAUGAUUCGUACUCACUCAUAGAAUAUUAUAUUCAAAUAAUCUCCAUUCAAAAUUUUAUUUGUUCUUAAAGAUUACACUUUUUUAAUGUUCAUUGAAAAAAAUUUCAUAGUUUAUAAUUUUAUGACGUUAUUUAUAUUUAUAAUUAUUUUAAAUUUGAGAAAGCAGUUAAUAGAAAUCAUUUAAGCAUUAUUGUCUAUAUGUAAGAAAGUAUAAAUGAAAUCCAUCACAAUUAGAGAUGAACCAAAAAAAAAAAAUUGUGACCCAUCAAACCUGUAUUUUGAAUUAAGAACAAAACAUGUGUGUGUGUGUGUGUAUAUAUAUAUAUAUAUAUAUAUUUGAAUCAACACUGAGUUUAGAGUAGAUUCUGAGUUUAUGUAUUAUAAUUAUGAAUUAGAUUCAAAUUUUACAAAAAUUCCUUAUGAACUUGAUCUAUUACUAUCCCUAAUUAUAAUACAAAAUAUAAGAUCCUUACUUUAAGAUGAGAAAAAAUGAAUGAAGUUUACCUUAUUUUAGAUAUAUCAAAUUUCAUUUAAAAAAAAAAGUUUUAUCACAUUAUAACACAAUUGUCAAGUUGAAGCUUUUGUAAUUAUCUAAAAUAUACGUACUUCUUGUUAUAAGAACUAAAUUACAUAUAUUCAAGUAAGAAAUUUGUAAUAUUUUUUCGCAUAAGAUGCUUUUAUCUAUUUAAAAUUGACAGUGUUUGCUCAUUAUUAAAUACGUCUUAUUCAAAAAAAUUUAUUCGGUAAGAAAUUUUGUACUCAGUCAUCUUAGCUAUAUAUUAAUUUUUGGGUCGAGUAAGAUUUUGAAUAGAUAAUCCAAAUUGAAAUAUCAUCCAAAUUGAAGAAAUAUAUUUGGUUAAUAUAAUGUAUUGAGUUUAGAAAAAUCAUCGUCAAAAAUAUAAUAUAUUAUGAAGGUGUAUGAACUAUCCAUAUAUUUUUGUGGGUAUGUGUGGUAUACUGGAAGUAGAAAGAAACUUUGAAGUAGAAUAAAAAUAAGAGAAGAAAUUCAAGGUAUAUAAAUAUACAUAUAUAUAUAUAUAGAGAGAGAGAGAGAGAGAGAGUAGAAAGAAGGUAGAAACUUUCCAUUAGACAGCAGAAAGUAACAAAAAUAAGAGAAGAUAUUCAACAUAUAUAUAUAUAUAUAUAUAUAUAAAAUAAAGGAUGCGGGAUAUAUUAUUGGCUUAUUGAUGAGUUUGGAAGAACGGUGCGGAUAGAACUUAUAAGUCCUAGGCCUUAAUGGCGUAUCCAAGAGAAGAAACGUAUUUGAUAAGUUUAGGAAGCUCAUUUUCAUCGACGAAUCCAUCUCCAUCAUCAUCAGCAAGCUUCAUUCCACGCCAAGAUCUGAAUCCAGGAACCAAGGCGCCCAAGUUUGAGAAAGCUUUCUUUAACUCUUCUUUACUCAGACGAUGAUCACCAUUGGAAUCAAAUUUCAUCAAAGCGGCCUUUAUGUCCUCCUCAGUUGGGCGUUUGGGUGGCGAUGGUGCUUUCUUCCCCACCAUAUGAGGCAUCUUUACUUAAUUCUUCAGACAAAUUUUAUAAUAUUGUUUUUGUUUUUGUUUUUGUUGGUACGAUCUUACAGUGCAAAUGAACAAGGCUAUUUAUAGAUGUUAUCAACGUCAAACCUUUCUUUUUCAAAAUAUUCUUGCUUAUCUUUCAAUGAAUGAUGGAUAUAUAACUAGAAUCCUUUUAUUUCCUCAUGCACUUGCCAUGCACCAAGGGAUAUAUACAUAUAUAUAUAUAUAUAUAUGUAUAUGUUUAUAUAUGCUCAAAUCUAUUUAUAUCUAUAUGGGCUCCACGACAUGUAAUGUAGUAUGUUAAGGGAACACUUAUAUUUAUAUAUAUGUAUAAAUGAUCCCGUGAUAAUCUAACUUUUAAAUUUGAAUUGCAUCUAUACUUUAUUAUAAUUAUUUUAGAUAUUUCUCUACUAAGAUAUUUUUAUGUUUAUAGUAAUUUUAUUUGUGAUUAAAAUAAAAUUUAUUUUUAAAAAUAAAAAUAUCAUUUACAUCACGUAAGAAUAUAUAUAAAAAUUGAAUAUUGAAAAUAAUUUAAACAAUUUAAAAAUUUAAUAAAGUUUUUAAGCCAAAGAAAUUUUAAUAUAAAUUAUUUACGUGGUAAAACUUUUUAAAAUAUUUUAAAAGAUAAGCGAAACACGAAAACUUCUCAAAAGAUCCUGUGCAUUAAUGCUAAUGCCAAAACUUUUAAUAUUUAAAUAAUCUGUGUUUAAAUUGAUAAUACUAUAUUAUCUUACUAAUGAUCAAAUUAUAAAUACUAUUACGUGCUAAAAAUAAGCCGCAUUAAAAAUUCCAACACUAUAAUUUCCCAUUGGGCUUUAUCAAAGCCCAAGUGGAAUACGCUAAAGUCCAGGCCCAUUUUUACGAGUCUCUGUCUAACUCUUAACACCGACCCCAAACUCGACAUGUUCCUCUUCCCAAUUCACAAAAAUGGAGUUACCAAAGCCCGCAUUUUCCUUCAAUCCUCUCUCCUCACUCCCAACAUUCAUCAAUCACCAUUCCCACCGACUUGGUACGGAGCUUUCAAGCCGAAUCGACGAAACCAAGCGGCUCGCCGGAUCCCUAGCCGGAAACUUCUCACCGUUUCCGGCUGUUAACUGGCUUCAGCGUCCCGCUUUUCGGCCUCCCUUCGCUUCACUUGCACAGCCGAAGCAAGCUGCCGUCGCAACACUCAGCUCGGAGCAAGUUGCCAAAGCCCUUGCUGGCACUCCCGUAUACACCGUGAGUAACUCGAAUAAUGAGUUCGUGCUCGUGUCGGAUCCCAAUGGAGUCAAAUCCAUCAGUUUGCUUUGCUUUCGACAAGAGGAUGCGGAGGCCUUUCUUGCUCAGGUUGGUGUUUUCCAGUAAGAGUAAGGAAAGGAAUGGAAAAAGAGGGGAAGUUUAAACUCGUGUGUUUUCUGUGCGUGCCAGUGUAUGUGUUUGACUUUUGUUGUUACGUGGCAUUGGGUCUUCAGGUUCGGUUGCGAAGGAGAGAAUUGAGGAGUAAUGCUAAGGUUGUUCCCGUUAGUCUUGACCAGGUAAGGUCUUUAAGCUCACUUACAUUCUUAUUUUCUCGUGUUAACUCUCAAUUUGGUCUCUGUGCAUCUUAAUAUGGAGCCGUACCAAAUGAAUGUUGAAAGUUUCUCUUUCUGUGCAUCUUAUAGGUAUACUCGUUGAAGGUUGAAGGUAUUGCAUUUCGUUUCCUGCCUGAUCCUGUUCAAAUAAAGAAUGCAUUGGAGGUUAGUUCUUCAUAUUGUCUUGUAUUGACUGUUAAUUUAGUCUUCAUUAAAUAAUUAACAAGAAUUAAGAAAUUGUUCAUGAUUUUACUUUGAAAGUUGAUAAGUUUAUUAGUUAUCCUACAAUUCAGAUUGAGCAAUUAUGAGAUCAAACUGACAAUAUUUUCCUUUGUCUAUCAGCUGAAAUCUGCAGAUAUCAAUAGUGGGUUUGAUGGAGUUCCUGUUUUUCAGGUAUACAGUUAACAUGUUGAGUAAAUGCUGGUGCUUCAAACCGGAAAAUAACUAUCCUUCAGAUGGCAUGAUCAUUACUUGUACUUACAAAAAGAACAGCUUUUACAUAUGCUUAUGCAUGCAUGAUCACUUACAUGCAAAUACUUGCAUAGAGGGGUUAAGUGAUUUAUGAUUGUGUUUGAAUGCUUGCAAUUCAUUUAGUUGAAAAAUAGUUUAUGAAAGAAGAUUUAAUAACAGUGUCAGAUUUCAAUACUUCUCCAAAAAAAAAAAUGUUGGGACUCCAUUACCUAUUUACUUUUCUACAAAAGAAAUUAGAAACUAUUCCCUGAAUUCAUUUUAUUUGAAUGGUUAGACUUCUUAUAUUUCUUAUUUUCCUCUAGCAAUUUGAAAAUAGUUUGAGAUGAGCCUUUUCUUUUUAAGGUGCAUUGGUACAAACUGCUGCACCAUUUGCCAAUGUACCAAAAGAUCUAUAUGGUUUCUUACUUCCUUAUCACUGUGUUUGCAGUCAGAUCUUCUGGUAGUGAAGAAGAAAAAUAAGCGUUACUGCCCAGUAUAUUUCAAUAAGGUUCAUUUGUCCCAUAAAUCACCUUUUCUUAAGCUGUUUUAUUUUUGGAACAAUAUUUUAGAAGAAACAGCUUAGAAGCACAACAUAUUGAUUUUCCCUUCUCUUCCCUCUCUUUCCCCCAUGCAGGAAGAUAUAGAAAAGGAACUCUUGAAGUCCUCAAGGGUAUCAAGAGGACUGGGUGUUUCACAGCAUAUUAUGGUAUUACUUUAGCGUCAUAUCCAUUCUUUUUGCAGCUUUUUAAACAUUUGGACUAUAAAAUUUAAGUGGUCAAAGAAUAAUUACUGUACAGAAGAUCUAUGCAAUAUAUGAAAAUUUUAUCUCAUUUGUUGAAGGGAGGGUAGCGAUGGACUAAAAAGUUUGUGGAGGGAGAAGUGACACUUCUUUUCAACUGUGCUAUUCCCAAUUUUUAAAUCGAAUUAGAAGUCAAUGUAAUAGUGACGAUAAUAGUUUCAAUGUUCUCAUUUCAAAGAAUUGUAUACUCUAUUUGGUAGGUGAAAAGACUUUCUAAUUUCAUUUCUAAAUUGGUAUGUCUUUAUUAGUACAAACAUGUGAUAGUUAAACAUGAAAAUCAUAUUUGGAAAAUGGGAAUAAAAAUGUAACAUGAGUUGAAACGAAACAAUUAAAAAAGCUGUGUCCAACAUCUUCUAGAAAACUGUUUUUAUUUAUAUUUAAGUUCAACAUAUACAUCCACCACCGUACAUGUUAUUAUAUAGUAGUGUUUUUUAAUUUAAUGAAAAUUAAAAAUGUUUCCUUUAUGAAGUGAAGCUGUUGCCUUUCACAUCAUGUUUCUACACAGAUUUCAUUAUUUAUGCAUAUAGUAUUUAAGUACGAAAAUAAGUGAUUUGGUAAACAAGAUAAGAAACUUCUCAAAAUAAGUAAUUCACAGGUUUUGCAAACUCGAUGCGGAUUGCAUGUUUAUGUGGUUAUACUGGAAUUGCUCUUUUAUUUUUAUUACCUUGAUAGAAUCUUCUAGAAUCCGUGAUCUUUGGUUCUAACCUUUAUGUAUUUCAUUUAAGGGCCAUCCUCUCCUCAAUGAAGAAGAUAUAGUGCCCUCUUUCUAUCUAGGCCUCUGAGUAUCUAAAGUAUAAGUAAAUGAUUUGAUAAACAAGAUAAUGAAAUUUAAAGGAAAAUAAUUCAGAGUUUCACAAAAUUCGAUCCAAAUUGCACGCUCACGUGGUUAUAGUGGCAUUUCUCUUUUAUUUAUAUUCUCUUAAUUGUAUCUUAAGAGUCAGUAAUCUUUUGUACCGAGCUUUAUGUAUUUUGUUUAAAAGUCGUCCUCUCUUCAAUGAAGAAGACCUAGUGAACUUUGUUGAUAUUUGACUAAUUCUGUUUUCUACUCUCUCCAGAGGCUCACUAUCUUGUAUAUGAGUGAUAUCCCCUCAGUACCUUUUCUCCUCCAAAUGAAAUCUUCUUUUUUUGUUGAAAGAUAUGUGAUAUACUGGCAUGGGUUCAAAUCUUUCUUUGUACUUAACUGAUAAACAUUGGGCAUUUCCUGCCUUAAUAUCCACCAUGUUUAGUUUGUUCGUACCUUAGAUGAAACCAAUAAACUGAUGUGUUCAUUUGACAAAUGCAAGUGCAAUUAUGUAUACAACACCAGGAGUUUCUUAUUUUACUUUGAUCUAUUCUUUUUAAACUUUUAUCAGCACUUUACGCUCUGUAUAAUAUUUGUUAUCUAAUUCAGUCUGUUGAACAGGUUGGAAGUCUAGAAGAUGUCUGAGAAAAAUGGAGGUAAUGAGCAUGAUUAGAUUUAGUACAUUUCUGAUUAGAAAAGGAUUAGAAUCUGAAUCAGUUGCUUUGGUUUUAUCUAGAUGAGUGAGAGGAACUCAGGUUGGGGAGAUCUGAUUUUUAUUCCGCCUGGUAAAAGUCACUCCCAGCACAUCCAAGAGGUGGUCAAAGGAUGAGAUCAUGGAUAUAUUGCUUCUACUGAUGAUGUGGAGCUUCAGAAGACAGUGAAUAUCUUUUUUUUUUCUGCUUCCGAUCUCCAUGGUAAAGCAGGUCAGUCAUCAACACUAAAUGAUAAAUUACCUGCUUGUUGACACCCUUUCUCUCUCGCAAUGGAGAAAGAUUUUGGAAAGUAACAGCCUGUAUGGUAACUUGAUGAGGAUGAAUACAUUUUUAUUGAAAUUAAUACAAGAUAAAUGGCUCGCAUUUAAGUGGAAGAAGUAAGUGAAAUGCUAGCAUGUCAAUGCUGGUCAUUGGAAAUUGUUAUACUGUACAGUUUGAUGUUUUUAAUGAGUACUUUGUUAUUUAGACAUACUGUUGCAGAUGAAUGGACUUAGUCAAUGAAAUGCUAGCAUGUCAAUGCUGGUCUGGAAUUUUCUAGUUGUUUUUCAGCAUCUGAUGAAGCACUACAAAGGAAAAUUAGAAGUUGGGGGAAACUUAAUCUCAACAAUAGGAAGUUGUGAUUAUUGUCCUUUUCAACACUAGACUGAGUUUUAACUGCUUGCCAUUGUGGUUUAUUUUUCCAUUUAAAAGCUUUUUUUGCCUCCUUGGAUUUUUUGUACCCUGCUCUUUCUUGGGAAAUCUAGUAUGGUAUUCCACAAAUUUAUUGGGAUGAGUUUAUAAUGUGAUAGAAAUUUAAGUGUUCGUAUAAAAUUGAGAUCUCAACCACUUGGUUUUCUUUUUGUUCUCAUGUUUUUCCUAUACACUCUUGUUAUUGCAGCUGUGAGUAUUAUCCUGGAGCAGAUGAAUGCAAUUAAAAAUAUGUGGAAUUCCCUUUUUCAAGGCAAAAUUUCUAUGUUUACAAUUCUUUUAGAAUUCGAAUCGAUUUCAAGAUGAAUUUAGCAAGUUUAAAAUUCAUCAAAUAUGAUAUAAUUUGAGAAUGACUUUGAAAGACUGGAGGGAAAAAGGUUUCAGAUGUCUUUUGCAACUGGUAUUCAUGCAUCACAAAAAGAGACUACUGAAACAACUGGUGAGUAUGAAGUAAAUGUGCUCAUAUCAUUUCAUGAUAGUGAGUAUGAACGAGGGUUCCAAGCCUGCAGACCCCCGCACCUCAUACUUCGAGGGAUUCAGACUCUGUUUGGAUUUGUUUUUUUGUUGAAAAAACAUGCUUUGAAGUAGUAGAAUGCCUAAUUACUUACGUGCUUAAAUUUCAAAAGACUAGUACGUAUUAUAUUUUGUAUUCUUUGCAAAAGAAUAAAGAGAUGAUCGCUAAACAAAUGAUUGAACAUGUUAAGAAAAGAAAAGAAUGUUAUAUGUGAGUACAGAAAAAGUUGAAAGCAUACAGGAACGAGUAUGUGUUUUUCAUUGGUUAAAUUUCCUCUAGGUACAGAGGAGGCAGCUUAAUGCGUUACCAGACAUGUAAAUUCGACCUCUGUCGAUUGUAAGAACUCGUCGAGGGAGGGUGUUGAUUCUAAAAAAAAACAUGCUUCCAUUUUAAAACAUGUAAUUAAUCUUAAAACAAAAACUGGGAACGUGAGUAAAGAAUUGGGUGAGUGAAAUGGUGACUGUUCACCAAACCGAAAGGUCAUAGGGCGUGCGUAUAAUAAGCUGUGGAAAUAUGUUUUAGGUGAGGUGUGAUGUCUCAACUUAAAUCACGUUUUGAAUUAUAAAUUAAUGAUUUGAGUUUUGGUGGAUUUCUGGUAACGGCCAAAUGUGACCUUUGCACGUAGAGGAGGUCGACAGGCCAUCCGCAGAGUUGUUGGCGUCCUCGUCUACUUUGACCCGAUGAAUCUCUUUUACCAUUUUAACCUUUUUUAUUCAUAAAUGCUUUUAUCCUAAAAAUACUCAUUAAAACAUUAUUAUGUUUUCUAUAUACUAUUAAUAUUAAUAUACUAAUUGUCCCGGUUGAUAUAGUGACUUGUGUUAAAGUUAUGUAGACAACAUGAAACACCUAAAAAAUGCUUAUGCAAAGUUAUAGUUCCCAGUGCAAUUUGUUCAUUAAAAAUAACAAUAAUUCUUGUUUAUAUUUUUAUAAAAUUAUAAAAUUAUUAAAAUAUAUUUAGAAUUAGAAUAUAUGUAAAUACACAGAGAAAAAAUUUGAAGUCUAUUGUCCAAAACAUGAUAACAAACAUGAGAACACAGUUAUAAAUACCUGACAACACAAUAAUGUGAUUGAAAAGAUAAAACGAACUAUCAUUGAGAAUGUGAGAUGUAUACUCAAAAUGACUACCCUACUUAAACUAUUUUAGGUCAAACCUCUAUUUAUUAUAUGUUACUUACUGAAUCAAUCUCUUUGGUUCUUUUAAAUUAUGACAUCUUUGAAAGAGGCGGGAGGGCAUAGAAAGAAAUCUCAUACUCUCACUUGGUGGAUGAACAUAUCAUCCAAGUAAGUUUAGACCUCAAAAGGAGAAAAUUAAUAAGCAAGAUAUAUAUAUAUAUAUAUAUAUAAAUUAAUCAGCUGGGUAAAAUGAGUUCUCAUAUAAAGAUAAAGAUGGGAGAUGCCCACUUCUUGAUGUUGUUGGUAUUUCACUGGACCAUGUAGUUUGACUACGGUUGAUCUAAUGACAUGCAGACAGUCAAAACAUUUGUGUUUUGAUUACAACUUAAAUGAAUUUUACUUAAAAAGUAUAUACUAAAAAAAAUAUUAUGUAUCUUUCAUUUCUAAUUUUCUGUAUAAAUAAAAAGUGACAAUUUUUAAUAAUUAAUGCCAUGUGUUUAAAUUUACUUCUGAAAUAAUUAAAACACAAUAAGACAAGAACCUGCAAGCUAGAUGUAUAUAUAUAUAUAUACGUGUGGAUAAAAUUGCGUAUACGAAUUAGAGAAAAUCAAGUAUAGACUGUAGAGUAGUUGUUGAAGGGAGAAGGUCAAUUGGGGAAUUGUAGAUUUUGAGUUUCUUUUAAAUAAAAUUCAAGCCGGACCAACAGGCAGGCAACUGCCUGAAAAGUGAAAACGAAAUAAAAGCUUUAUUUCCUCAAAACUUCUUGUCCACAAGCCAAGCAAAUCCUAAACAAGGAACCUCUUGACACAUGUACCUCCCUCGUUGCUCCCAUUUUCCUUUUCCCUUCUUUUACUUCUCUCGUGAUCUCUUAUGUCUAUAUUUAUGCAUGUAUAUAUAAAGAGGUGGGUACUGGUAUAUGCUAGAAUAUGUACAUACAUGUACAUAACUCAUCUGCAGCCGAGAACAUGAAUAAACCCAGUUCAGCUUUAAAUUAAAUCAUAUCUUAUUAGAAUGGUCAUGGGUGAUAGUGCAGUCAGCCUCGAGAAGAUGAUCAUAAACAAGGCCAAUAUUCCUUCCAAGGCAUUGAUCAUCAGACUCAACCUCAUUUUCCUUGUUUU